AUGCUGAUGAAAAUUUUCUUGGUCCGUGUUUAUGAAUCUUCCUGAUUUCAACAUUAUCCAAUAUCUGAUAAUU
rfam:Tetranychus urticae London genomic scaffold, scaffold_30